GUUCAAAGAGCCGCGGGGUCUGGGGUAUGAUUUUGCCUGCAAGCCGUGUCAUGACUGACAGCUUUGCCAGGUUCCCUUCCUGCCAUAUUGACCUUGCUGACCUGCUUCUCUACCUUGGUGGUAUCUGGGGCUUAUAUCUAUGUCUCCUCAGCUGAGUGAAGACAUGGAGGAUGAGCUCUGGCCAUCGGAAGAAUGGAAGGUUUGCCUAUUCUGGAAAUUUCAUUUAAAUAGAGAAAUACACUACGUGCUCUUUGUGCCUGGCUUCUCUCACUCAGCACAAUAUUCUGGAGUUGCAUCCAUGUGGAAGCACGCAUCAAGACCUCAUUCCUUUGAUGGCUGAAUGAUACUCUUGUGCUGGCUGGUUUUGUGCCAACCUGGCACAAGCUGGAGUUACCAUAGAGAAAGGAGCUUCAGGACCCCAAUGGUGCAGACCUGUGCAGGUCCUGUGUAUGCUGCCUCCUGUUCUGUGAGUUCAUGAGUGUGUCAGACCCUGUUGAUCUAGAGGGACUUGGUUCCUUGCUGCCUUCCAUUCACCCUGGCUCUCACAACCUUUCUGCUUCCUCUUCUGCAGACUUCCCUGAACCCCAAGGAGAAAGAUUUGAUGGAGACAUUCCUUUUAGGGCUGAGUGUUCCAUGAUCUCUCUCUGCAUAAUGUCUGGCUGUGGAUGUCUGUAUUUGUUUCCAUCUGCUGCAGAAGGAACAUUCUCUGAUGAUGGCUGAGCAACACACUGAUUUGUGAGUAUAGCAGAAUGUCAUUAAAAGGGGCAUUUGGUUUAAUCUGUGGUCCCUGAGUUGGCUGGUCUCAAGUAGUUGGUUACUCAAGCAGUAUUGAGUAUGGGUUCCAUCUUGUGGAGUGAGCCUUAAGUCAAAAUUGAUUGUGGUGCUUUGAAUGAAAAUGGUCGCCACAGGCUUAUAGCAAGUGGCACUUUUGGGAGGUGCGGCCUUGUUGGAGUAGGUGUGGCCUUGUUGGAGGAAGUGUCUCUGGGGAUGAGAUUUAGGAUUUCAGAGGGAGUAUCAUUCUCUCUUCCUGCUGCCUGCCAAUCCAGAUAUAGAACUCUAAGCUACCUCCUUAGCAUCAUCUCUGCCUGUAUGCUGCCUGUGUGCUCACCAUGAUCACAGUGGUCUAAACCUCUAAACUGUAAGCCAGGCCCAAUUAAAUGCUUUUCUUUUUAAUAUUUGUGGUGGUCAUGGUGUCUCUUCACAGCAAUAGACACCCUAACUAAGAUAGAUAUUGGUUGGUUAUUCCCACAGCCUUUAGGCCACCAAUGUGCAAGCAGGACAGCAUUUUCGAUCAAAGAGUUUGUGGCCAGGUCCCUGCUUAUAUUUCUCCUUUGGUAGUGUAUAGAGUAGCUACCUGCAACAAAGACACUAGCAUGCAGGAGUGAUGUUCACGGCCUCUAUUUAUCUCUUUUGUGGUUGUGUUUUUUACUCCUUAUACUUUGUUAUAAGAAACUGUUGCUGAACCAAAGAUUUUUAAGAUUCUAUAGUUUUUUGAAGGGAUUUUUAUAGUUUAGUCAUGACAUGUAGGUGUUUUUUUUUAAAGAUUUAUUUAAUUUUCAUCUUAUGUGUACGUGUUAGUACCUACACAUGUAUGUGAAUACUACCUGUGUGCUUGGUACUUGUGGAGGCCAAAAUAAGGCAUCCAAUUCCCCAUAACUGGAGUUACAGGUUGAAAGCCACUUGAAUGGGGGUGGGGGGGUGGGUUGGGAACUGAACUCUGAGCCACUACAAAACCAGCAAGCUCUCUUAACUGCUGAGCUCUCUCUCUGGGCCUACAUUUAGGUUUAUGGAUAACUAAUCUUAGACCUUGGUCAUCCUCUCUCAGUCUCACCCCAGGCCUUGGUCUCCCUCUCUCAGACUCACCCCAGGCCUUGGUCUCCCUCUCUCAGGCUCACCCCAGGCCUUGGUCACCCUCUCUCAGACUCACCCCAGACCUUGGUCACCCUCUCUCAGACUCACCCCAGGCCUUGGUCUCCUUCUCUCAGGCUCACCCUAGGCCUUGGUUACCCUCUCUCAGACUCACCCCAGACCUUGGUCACCCUCUCUCAGACUCACCCAGACCUUGGUUACCCUCUCUCAGACUCACCCCAGACCUUGGUCACCCUCUCUCAGACUCACCCAGACCUUGGUUACCCUCUCUCAGACUCACCCCAGACCUUGGUCACCCUCUCUCAGACUCACCCCAGACCUUGGUCUCCCUCUCUCAGACUCACCCAGACCUUGGUCUCCCUCUCUCAGACUCACCCAGACCUUGGUCACCCUCUCUCAGACUCACCCCAGACCUUGGUCACCCUCUCUCAGACUCACCCCAGGCCUUGGUCUCCCUCUCUCAGACUCACCCUAGGCCUUGGUUACCCUCUCUCAGACUCACCCCAGGCCUUGGUCACCCUCUCUCAGACUCUUGAGUGCUGAGAUUACAGGCAUUUGCCACCACCCACAGUUUACACAGUGAUUUUCACCCUGAGUGUACCUCAGAGGCCUCUGAGAGGAGUCCAGUGCAGGAUGGAGGUGAGCUCCACAUUCCUUCUUUUGCAUGUGGUGUGUAAGCGGG
rnacentral:lncRNA from 1 species